UAAUACGUAGGGUGCAAGCGUUGUCCGGAAUUAUUGGGCGUAAAGAGCUCGUAGGCGGUUUGUCGCGUCGGCUGUGAAAACCUGGGGCUCAACCCCGGGCCUGCAGCCGAUACGGGCAAACUAGAAUUCGGUAGGGGAGACUGGAAUUCCUGGUGUAGCGGUGAAAUGCGCAGAUAUCAGGAGGAACACCGGUGGCGAAGGCGGGUCUCUGGGCCGAUAUUGACGCUGAGGAGCGAAAGCGUGGGGAGCAAACAGGAUUAGAUACCCUGGUAGUCCACGCCGUAAACGUUGGGAACUAGGUGUGGGCCACAUUCCACGUGGUCUGUGCCGCAGCUAACGCAUUAAGUUCCCCGCCUGGGGAGUACGGCCGCAAGGCUA
rnacentral:rRNA from 1 species